GUCAGGCUAUACACAGACUGUCGCUCAGCCAACAGACAACCUACAUGGCCACUGCUUUUUCCUCCAUGUUUGAUAAAAUCAGGCCUCCUGAUAUGCCAAAAUCAUCGGGUGUUGAAGAACGAACGUUGACCGUUCACAUAAUUUCGUAAGACAAUAUCCUUAGCAUAUCUUAGCAUUUUGAUUUUAAAGAGCCAUCAGUUUUGUUGGAUUAUUCGGGUUUGUUUACGGGUCACGGGUCGACACGUUAUCGGGUCACGCGGGUCAUGGAGUCAAGCAUCAAGUCGGGUCGCGGGUUUGACCGGGUUACGGGUCAAAUAAGCAGCUAAAACCGGUAGAUUGUUGACCGAAAUUAAUAUGGAUCUUUGUUGGAGCUGUUGCAAACUGGAGCUACGUGGGUUCGGAGCUGUUUGGUUUAUUUGUCAUGUUUUUAUUAUAUUUGAUUGUGUCACGUAAAGUAAUAAUGGGUCAAUAGGUCAAGGGUUUGUUUCCUAUUUUAUUGGCAUAUUUACGUCCAUGUAGUCCAUGUAUAUCAGUAGGUAGUUUAGUUCCUUUUCUUUAGGGUUAAGUUUGUUACUUGUAAAGGCUAUAUAUAGCCUCAUUGUUUUGUGAAUAUUGAUCACCCUUUUCAUCGAAUACAACAGUUUUUCUAUUUCUUU
rnacentral:lncRNA from 1 species